rnacentral:rRNA from 1 species
GACGAACGCUGGCGGCGUGCUUAACACAUGCAAGUCGAACGGAAAGGCCCUGCUUGCAGGGUACUCGAGUGGCGAACGGGUGAGUAACACGUGGGUGAUCUGCCCUGCACUUCGGGAUAAGCCUGGGAAACUGGGUCUAAUACCGGAUAGGAGCCAGUUUUAGUGGGAUGGUUGGAAAGUUUUUUCGGUGUAGGAUGAGCUCGCGGCCUAUCAGCUUGUUGGUGGGGUAAUGGCCUACCAAGGCGGCGACGGGUAGCCGGCCUGAGAGGGUGGACGGCCACAUUGGGACUGAGAGACGGCCCAGCCUCCUACGGGAGGCAGCAGUGGGGAAUAUUGCACAAUGGGCGCAAGCCUGAUGCAGCGACGCCGCGUGGGGGAUGACGGCCUUCGGGUUGUAAACUCCUUUCGCUAGGGACGAAGCUUUUUGUGACGGUACCUAGAUAAGAAGCACCGGCUAACUACGUG